GUGAGUAAACCUGACUGACGGGUUUUAAGGAGCUCUGGAAAUAAGGGACUGGUUAAGCUCUUCAUCCACCCUUUCUUGUUUCAUCCUCAUGACAUCUACAUGAAAAGCGUCAUGCCCAGCAAAUGAGGCCCAUCUCCAUGGCAACUGUGCAGGUCUGGGCACCUGCAGUGUUCCAGAAUCUCCUCAGCAGCAGUAAAGGAAACCUCAAAAAACAAAGACAAAACACUGCCCUUUGGGAGAAGCAUUAGCUCACUGUAUCUGCACCCCAAAUUCCUCAAGGAGUAACUCCUCUCCUUGCCUUUAAACUCUUUGAUCUC
rnacentral:lncRNA from 1 species